rnacentral:misc_RNA from 1 species
GGCGACGAUUACAAGGUAUAUCCAUUGAGGGCGAUGAUGAACUUCUCGAAGUCACUAAAGAAGCACCUAAGAGAGAUGAAUGGAUGACGGCAUUACCUCCUGAAAGGAAACCAGGUAUGACCAGGCAAUCAACAACAUUUAGCAAGACAACUAAAGAAGGACGAGGUGAUACUAGCAUUUGGACCAACAGCCCCCUCGACAGAGCUGAAAAAGCAAAACAGAAUUAUUUAGAGGCUUACAAUAAUACCAUAGCACUUGCCGAUACGGAUGACACAAGGAAGACGUCUAAUUCAGAUGCUGGUUUGGUUGACAAAUACAACUCUGCCAAGCGCUCGGUAUCUCUAAUGCAAAAGCAUCAAGAGGAGACCAGCCGUCCGAAAAAGAAAUCCAAACAAAGAGAGAAAGAAGAGUGGGGUGGGAAGCACCCUUGGAAACCUUGGGAUCGUGAAAAAGAUCUGGUUGCUGGAAGGAAGGAUAUCAAGCUUGAUUCAGAGAACAUGACACAGGGAUUGUCCUCUCGCUUCUCUUCGGGACCUACACAGCGGAAUUUCUUGUAGAAGCUGCUGAGUCGCCGGUGAGUCUUGAAGCGUGUUUCUAUUUUAUUUUCUGUUUAUCAGGUGGUAAUUGCAAUCAAC